CCGAGCUCACCGCCACAUCGUACGCUGUCUGACCCGCGGCGUUCCUCCGCCUCAGGUUGGCCUUACAGCUGAAAACAGAAUGAGAGGAUGAUCUCAUUAUGACAUCAGGACAUGGGAGGAGCAACAACUGCAGCAGGACUCUGUACUUCACCUGAGCAGCACCUCAGCACACGGCAGACCUGCAGAGCCCAGAGCAGCAGCUUCAUGAAGAGCAGUGUUCUUCAUCCUGAGGAGGAGGAGGAGUUCACCUUUAGAUCAUCAGCACACACGAGCAUCACAUCGUCUAAAAACCAGGGAAGCUUAAAGGGCCAAUCAGAGGGCUCAGUCUGCUCUGACCUCCUGCACCAGAACCACAGAAACCUUCCAACAAACAUGAAGCCGGUAAGUUUGCUGAUUCUGAUCUUUGGAGGGUGCCAAAUACGAUCGAUAACAAGGAAGAAGCUGGGACGGGCUGACGGGAAUGACCUGCGCUUUUCUUCACACCUCAGCUCAUGUGACGACUCACAUGAUCGAUAGUGGCUUAACGACUCUCAGGACCACCUCCAAGAGACCACCCCCACUAGGCGUUUAUUACCCGUAGCUCCCCAGUUAUUCUAGACCUGAAGAAGCCUCUGGGAUGCUGCAGUACCAGAAUCAGGAACUCUUAGCAGGAACCGGCUCCUUAAGGUGGAACUCUUCACACAUUCAGGGACUCAGAGGUAUUACCAGAGCUGAUCAUGGACCUGUGAUGGAGAUCUGAUCCUCAUUAAAACUAUUUUUGUAAGUUCAUCAAAGCUCAGGAUCUGUCACGUCCUGACCCCACAAACAGCUGCUGAGAGGAUGUUGACAGAGGAGAGGACAUCAUCUCAGAGUUUCGGUCCAUCAGAGGCCACAGUAAAAGCUGAAUGCAUGAGGGAAGAUUUGUGAGCAGAUGCUGUGACGGUGAGUCCAUGCCUCAGACUAA